GUCUGCACACCCUCUCUCGCACACACACACGCGCGCGCCGAGCUGCUGGCGAUGUCUGAAUAGGCAGAUAGGAAAUUACGGCGGAGCAGGAGCCGGAGCCGACUUUUUUUCCUCCCCUUGGUGGGCUGGCCUUUCCAGCGCUGUGGUCGACUAGCCUUUCAACUCUCUUGGGGAGGAGCCUUCCCCCUGCUCCAUCAGAAUGAGCAGGAAGGCAAAAAAAAAAAACAGCCAAAAGCUUUUCAAAAACAGAAAAUAGAUAAACACGAUUUAUGACAACAGUUGUUAGGUGGAGAGAUAAGGACAACACCAAAGAACCAAACAAUGAACAAAAUCAAACAAGGGCUCCACCUCAAAUGGAGAAGGACAAACAAUGGUCCCUGUGUUGGAAAAAAAGAGAGGCCCAAUCUCUGGGUGCGGCUGCAGGGGGGCCUGAGGGAGAGGAAGUCAGGGAGCGGGCCCACCCUCACCACG